GAUGAACGCUGGCGGCGUGCCUAAUACAUGCAAGUCGAGCGAACAGACGAGGAGCUUGCUCCUCUGACGUUAGCGGCGGACGGGUGAGUAACACGUGGAUAACCUACCUAUAAGACUGGGAUAACUUCGGGAAACCGGAGCUAAUACCGGAUAAUAUAUUGAACCGCAUGGUUCAAUAGUGAAAGACGGUUUUGCUGUCACUUAUAGAUGGAUCCGCGCCGCAUUAGCUAGUUGGUAAGGUAACGGCUUACCAAGGCAACGAUGCGUAGCCGACCUGAGAGGGUGAUCGGCCACACUGGAACUGAGACACGGUCCAGACUCCUACGGGAGGCAGCAGUAGGGAAUCUUCGGCAAUGGGCGAAAGCCUGACGGAGCAACGCCGCGUGAGUGAUGAAGGUCUUCGGAUCGUAAAACUCUGUUAUUAGGGAAGAACAAAUGUGGAAUUAACUAUGCACGUCUUGACGGUACCUAAACAGAAAGCAACGGCUAACUACGUG
rnacentral:rRNA from 1 species